UACGAAGGGGGCUAGCGUUGCUCGGAAUCACUGGGCGUAAAGCGCACGUAGGCGGCUUCUUAAGUCAGGGGUGAAAUCCUGGAGCUCAACUCCAGAACUGCCUUUGAUACUGAGGAGCUUGAGUCCGGGAGAGGUGAGUGGAACUGCGAGUGUAGAGGUGAAAUUCGUAGAUAUUCGCAAGAACACCAGUGGCGAAGGCGGCUCACUGGCCCGGUACUGACGCUGAGGUGCGAAAGCGUGGGAGCAACAGG
rnacentral:rRNA from 1 species